GGGCACGACACCGGAGAGGGAGCCUGAGAAACGGCUACCACAUCCAAGGAUGGCAGCAGGCGCGCAAAUUACCCAAUCCCGACACGGGGAGGUAGUGACAAUAAAUAACAAUACGGGGUUCUUUCGGAUCUCGUAAUUGGAAUGAGUACAAUUUAAAUCUCUUAACGAGGAACAAUUGGAGGGCAAGUCUGGUGCCAGCAGCCGCGGUAAUUCCAGCUCCAAUAGCGUAUAUUAAAGUUGUUGCAGUUAAAAAGCUCGUAGUUGAAUUUCGGGGUUAGUAGGUUGGUCAUGCCUCUGGUAUGUACUGGUCUCACUGAUUCCUCCUUCCUGAUGAACCGUAAUGCCAUUAAUUUGGUGUUGCGGGGAAUUUGGACUGUUACUUUGAAAAAAUUAGAGUGUUUAAAGCAAGCUAACGCUUGAAUACAUUAGCAUGGAAUAAUGAAAUAGGACGUUCGAUCUUAUUUUGUUGGUUUCUAGGAUUGACGUAAUGAUUAAUAGGGAUAGUUGGGGGCAUUAGUAUUCAAUUGUCAGAGGUGAAAUUCUUGGAUUUAUUGAAGACUAACUACUGCGAAAGCAUUUGCCAAGGAUGUUUUCAUUAAUCAAGAACG
rnacentral:rRNA from 1 species